rnacentral:sRNA from 2 species
UUGAAUGUUUUCUAGGGUUCCGCAACAAUAAAUGUUGGUCUGGUCCGAGAGAAAACUCACAGCUAUGCUGUGCCACGGAAGGAUAAAAGCCUGGGAGAU